AGUGAACGCUGGCGGUAGGCCUAACACAUGCAAGUCGAACGGCAGCACAGUAAGAGCUUGCUCUUACGGGUGGCGAGUGGCGGACGGGUGAGGAAUACAUCGGACUCUACUUUUUCGUGGGGGAUAACGUAGGGAAACUUACGCUCAUACCGCAUACGACCUACGGGUGAAAGCAGGGGAUCUUCGGACCUUGCGCGAUUGAAUGAGCCGAUGUCGGAGUAGCUAGUUGGCGGGGUAAAGGCCCACCAAGGCGGCGAUCCGUAGCUGGUCUGAGAGGAUGGUCAGCCACACUGGAACUGAGACACGGUCCAGACUCCUACGGGAGGCAGCAGUGGGGAAUGUUGGACAAUGGGCGCAAGCCUGAUCCAGCCAUACUGCGUGGGUGAAGAAGGCCUUCGGGUUGUAAAGCCCUUUUGUUGGGAAAGAAAAGCAGCAGGUUAAUACCCCGCUGUUCUGACGGUACCCAAAGAAUAAGCACCGGCUAACUUCGUG
rnacentral:rRNA from 1 species